GGAAAAUUGGAAAGAUCAGGAAGUACCUAACAUGAACUAAGCCACAUAAACAUCUCGUUCUUAGGUUUUGAAUAAGGUGAUCUAAGGAGUGAUUCAAAAAUGGUACUCGAUUCUAUAUUCAACAAAGGGGGAAAUUUGUCAAUAGCUGGCAUUUGCCUGAACUGCAAGGUCUACAACCUUGAUACCAUUCUUGAGAAUAGAAGUUCAAAGUGAUGGCUUGUCCUGAAGAUUAUAAAAGUUUAUGUAACGGUGUGAUUAUAAAUCAUACACAAUGGUAUGAUUCAGUAAGAAGUCAUACUAGCUACAAGGUUUUUUCAGAAAGCCGGAAUUAACAAGAAACUGAACUUAAGCAAAAUCAUACGAAAAGAAAAAGAGAGAUACGAGACAACUAUAUAGGAUAUUUCUGAACUUACACAAGUGGCAAUAAUUGCACCAGA
rnacentral:lncRNA from 1 species